GAAGAAACUGAGGUUAAGGUCGCGAUGCUCUGGCCAGCAUCACAGGUAAACGAUUUUGGCAGUGCCCGGAGAAGGAUAGAAGGGCCUCUCUCUGAGAUCGGGUCCUCCUCCUGCAGGGCAGCAGAGUGGAAGCCAGGGCCUGGGACCCUCUGGCUGGGCAAGGAGGGACUGCAGUCCGGCUCCGGCGACCCCGUCCCCAGUGCCAGCGGUGGGGUCGCCCGUGGCGGCCCGGACAGGCCACGGGUCCCUCUCCACAAGUCCCAUUACGUUGUAUUUAUGUUUCAUUUUAUAGUUUUUUUUCCUCCUCCCUUAUUAUUGUCUCACUCUGGGGGAGGCAAAGGAUAUAAUAUAUUCAUCUUUAUUAUACCAAAUCUGUGUGAAGCAUUUAAUAAAACGCUGUUUCCACACAGCCAGGGAUA
rnacentral:antisense_RNA from 1 species